rnacentral:rRNA from 1 species
GACGAACGCUGGCGGCGUGCCUAACACAUGCAAGUCGAACGGAAAGGCCCUGCUUUUGUUGGGUUCUCGAGUGGCGAACGGGUGAGUAACACGCGAGUAACCUGCCCUUGACUUUGGGAUAACUUCAGGAAACUGGGGCUAAUAUCGGAUAGGAGCUCCUGCUGCAUGGGGGGGGUUGGAAAGUUUCGGCGGUUGGGGCUGGACUCGCGGCUUAUCAGCUUGUUGGUGGGGUAGUGGCUUACCAAGGCUUUGACGGGUAGCCGGCCUGAGAGGGUGGCCGGCCACAUUGGGACUAAGAUACGGCCCAGACUCCUACGGGAGGCAGCAGUGGGGAAUAUUGCACAGUGGGCGGGAGCCUGAUGCAGCAACGCCGCGUGCGGGAUGACGGCCUUCGGGUUGUAAACCGAUUUCGCCUGUGACGAAGCGUGAGUGACGGUAAUGGGUAAAGAAGCACCGGCUAACUACGUG